rnacentral:lncRNA from 1 species
UUGCUUCUUGUCUUCUUCCAAUGAGAGAAGAACAUGACAGCAGAGCUCAUGAAAGGCAUUCAUUGAACACCUGUCCUGGAAAGAUGAUUUGCUGGUAGAGGACACAGUCUUGAAGCUAGAUUCUGAGGACCUGGAGGCAGGGAUAUCUGCAGCCAGCAGGACCUUGGAGGCACCGUCUUGAACAAACACACUAGUGGUACAGUCCUACCACUGACAUUGGUAGCUGAGUCACAGUGAGCUGUGCACAGACCUACAUCUUCUAGAUCCUGGAGAAUCGUUCUAGAAUUGGACUACCCUUU